GGAAAUGGCAACCCACUCCAGUGUUCUUGCCUGGAGAAUCCCAGGGACAGGGGAGCCUGGUGGCCUGCCGUCCAUGGGGUCGCAUAGAGUCGGACAUGACUGAAGCGACUUAGCAUGCUAUCUACAUGAUAACAGAAGCUGAGUGUUAGCAACAAUGAUAUAAAUCGCCACACCUUUUGAGCAAUUCUCUGUAAUAACAUUGCAGAAUAUCACUGUGUUAUUUAAUUGAAACCUCACAACAAUCCUGUGAAGUUGGUGUUGUCUUUGUUCUAACCCUGUGAAAACUGAGGCUCAGAGGAGUUAAGAAACCUGUCAUAAGUUACUUAUAGAGUGACAGAUCAGGGAUUUAAGUUUUGUUCUGACUUUGACUCUAAAGCUCUUUCUGCUGGAUCAUACCACCCCAUAGAUGGGUUUAUUUGGGGGUUGAUUAGAGAAUUUAAAAGUCAGUUUAGAGUGAUGAUAGGGAGGAGACCCCUUGGCAUGAGAGGAAAAAUCUUAAGUGUGCUCCUUUCCAAGUCGCCAUGUUCUCAGAUUGCUGGCCUGUUUUAUUCCUUUCAUGACCUCCAUUUAUCCCUGUGAAUAAUUCAUGUAAUAUCACCAAUGUGUUUUGUCUCUAGCUUGUUAUCCAGGAAGAUAUACAGAAGCUGCCAUUUGCUUUCACCUUGCUGGCUGCUGACCCUAAAGAAGUAGCACAGACACCAUGGAUACUCACCUUAAGAUAGUGCUUCCGAGUUAAGUUAUCAGAAAACUAUUGUGUUGGAUGAAGCAAGAAGGUGCAAGCUGUAAUACUGUCAUGAAGGCCAAAGGUUGAGGAAGAAGUUGCCAUUUCUCCUUCCUGUUUACCACUCAAGGAUCUAUCUCCUGAAUCCUUUUUAGAGUUAUUGGUAUCUUGGCUUUAUACAUAUACCCUGGUAUUUGAAUACAUAUACUGGUGCUCACAGCAUUGGCUUAAAGUUAGUGGUUCUACUACUCUCCAGCUGUAUGACUUGGGCAUUCAGUUCUUUCUGAGUCUCAACUUCCUCAUCUUUAUGAUGGGAAUAGUCAUGUCUGUCUGCUUGCCUGGUCAAAUAAAAUCUCUGCUUCAUAUAUUUGAUACCUUAGGGUCCCCUGCAUGAGUAGGAAGCUUGCAUGUUACUUAACACAGCUUUUGCUGCUGAAGAUGACCAUUCCUUCAUCAGCCUCCUGGACAGAUGAUCCUCUAGUGUCAGACUGAGCUCUGAAGGGUUGGGAAGCUGCCCUCCUCAGGAGCUCAGAUAGUAAGUUGUUCUUUGUGCUGAUCUGAAAUCUGAACUCUCCAGUAACUUUUGCCUGCUGGUUUCUGUGUCAUCUCUGGAUAACAGGACAUUUAACCUCAAAAUCUUCUGUAUACUGAAGACUACUGUGAAAAGUACCAUUAUUUUUUAAGCUGGAUAUCAAGUCAUCUUUUCAGCUCCUUUGCCUGCUCUGCCCUUGGGGUUCUGAUCUGGAUUGACUUCAUGGAACAGAACAUGGUGCCAGGUGUUCCUGAACAUUCUCAAUGGUCUUUGUAGCAUUGGUAAUAAAACAUUGCCUGAUGACCCUAGAAGCAAGUUUGAUUAUUACUAAUGGUAACUGUCCCUACCCGUAGUGAGUCUGCUCAAAUCCUAGAGCCAUGAUUGGCAAACCAUAUUUCUUAACAUGCUUUAAAUUAUUUUUAACAUGAAAGUAAUUUCCCCCUCUGUUGCAUUGCCAUUUCCUUCUCCAAGGGAUCUUCCCUACCCAGGGAUCAAACCCAGGUCUCCUUUAUUGCAUGUGGAUUCUUUACUGCUGAGCUACCAGGGAAACCACACUUUAUUCUAAAAAAUAAUAAAGAUGCAUUAAAUUUAAUAAUAGAAAAGACCUAGAAAAAAAUCUAAAGAAUACUAUGGAACUUAUUUGUAGCCCAUUUACUUUUAAAAAAAAUAAAAUAUUUUUAUACCUUACACCUUA